rnacentral:misc_RNA from 1 species
GAUGAAGAACGCAGCGAAAUGCGAUACUUGGUGUGAAUUGCAGAUUCCCGUGAACCAUCGAGUCUUUGAACGCAAGUUGCGCCCGAAGCCAUUAGGCCGAGGGCACGCCUGCCUGGGCGUCACACGUCGUUGCCCCCCCAUCUACUCCUUCGGGAUUGCGGGGGGCGGAUGAUGGCCUCCCGUGCGCCUCGUCGCGCGGUUGGCAUAAAUGCCAAGUCCUCGGCGACGCACGCCACGACAAUCGGUGGUUGCGAAACCUCGGUUGCCCGUCGUGUGCGGUCGUCGCGCAUCGAGGGCUCGAAAAAAUUGCCGGGCUCCGGCUCGGCUUUCAACGCGACCCCAGGUCAGGCGGGGUUACCCGCUGAAUUUAAGCAUAUCAAUAAGCGGAGGA